AUCAGCAGGUGAACUUCCUGUUCCAGAUGGGAGCUGUCAGUCAUGCCCACGCAAUUUAAGCCUCAACUGCGUGUUCCCUGAGUAGAAGAACGAUCCAUU
rnacentral:lncRNA from 1 species